UUAGUUUUUUUUUUUUUUUGCGGUACGCGGGCCUCUCACUGUUGUGGCCUCUCCCGUUGUGGAGCACAGGCUCCGGACGCACAGGCUCAGCGGCCAUGGCUCACGGGCCCAGCCGCUCCGCGGCAUGUGGGAUCUUCCCAGACCGGAGCACGAACCCGUGUCCCCUGCAUCGGCAGGCGGACUCUCAACCACUGCGCCACCAGGGAAGCCCUGAAUGUUUAGUUUUUAAAGAAACUGAUAAACUGUUUUCCAGAGUGGCUGUACUAUGUUGUUUUGAUAGUGUUCCCAAUUUAGAAUAAACCUUUGAAUCUCUCGAUCUUUCUAAAUGGGAAACUUUUUGUGUUAACUUAACAUUAACAUUUGUCUGUUAAGUAGAUUUGUACUUUUUAUGUCCAGAUUAAUAAAUGUCAGUAUUAGGCAAGUUUUUCAGAAAGUGCAAAAUAUGAAUUGGUCUUUUAUCUUUUGUCAGCCAGGGUCUGUAAUUUAAAAAUUUAAUGAGAUCAAAGGCUUUUACACAUGGAUUUUUGACUAUGUCCAAAGGAAAUGAAUUUGUACAUGAUACAUUCUGGAUACUAAUGAUAGUCUUAGUAUCUUCAUCGUCCCUUCCUCUGAAUAGAGCCUUUUAUUUAUACUAUUGCUGUAUAACUGUUACUUAACUAAGAGGGUGGUUAGUGCAGAAUAGGUAAGAAAUACUUAGACUGAGUUUAACCUUAAGAAAUAACUUUGUUCUGUAACUCUAUUAUGUUGCUCACUAGACUAAGUUGAGAUUGUUGGCUUAUUUUAACAUCAACGACAAAAUUUCUAAAUGUUGGGAGGUUUUAUUUUAAGAAAAUUGUACAUUGUAUUUAGGUAUGUGUUUCUGAUUUGGAAAGUAGAGAAAAACAUGAAGAAGAAAGUAAAAAUCAUCUGUAGUUUUACUGUGUAGUAAUUACUAACAUUUUAGUGUUUAUUUCUUUAUUCCCUUCCCUUUCCUCCAGUGUACCUAUAUAAAUACACAAACAUAGAUGCACGUUCACAUUACACAUUAUAUACCCGUUAAAAAAAAAAUUGGGGGCAUAUUGUUUUGUGACUUUUGUUACUAUGCCAUAUAGUUUUGAUUGCUUAUGAUAUUAAAUAAUCAUUUUUUGAGGGUGUAAUCCUUCCUUUUCACAUACUUCUUGGUUAUAUUUUCAUUAUAUUGGGUUGAUUUUAUACAUAUACACAUAUAUACAGUCCUACUCAAAAUGUUGGGUGACAGUAAAAUACUCUUUAGUUAGUAAUAAUAUCAUUUUGUUAGUUUUGGCUGUGACAGUUACCCACUCCUUAUUUUGGUCAGGAAAUUUCAAAGGCAUUGCUAUGCCUUUGAGUGAAUACCUGAUAGAAAAAUAUGCAAAACUGGUUUCGUAUUACCUUUAUCAUCUUUGUCUUUAUUUUUAUCAGUGAACACUUAUUGAAUGCAGAGCACUUUGUUAUGUAUUUGGACACAAAUAUCGCCAUUAUUCUGUCCUUGAAAUUAAUUUAGUUGAGGGAAUAAGGUAUAUCUAGAUUUGGAUUUAAAAUGAAUAGGUAAUAAAUAGUCCAAGAUAGUAUAUUCAUGUCAAAUAUAUGAUUAGACAGUACAGUCUUUAGAACUGUAGAAAAGGGAGUUAUCUUUGGGCUGGGGAAAUCAGAGAAGAUUUUAUGAAUUACGUGGGACCUGAACCUUGAAGAAAGGAGAGGAAUUGGAGGUAGCUCCAUCUUAGAGAUGUGUCACUGGUGAUCACAGGACAAAAUUGUUGCCUUUCCAAGGAUUGCCAAGUUGAGGCCAAGGUUUAGGAACAAAAAAAAAGAAUAAGCAACAUUUGCUGAGUAUCUACUCUGUUAGGCACUCUUGGUGAAAUUGGGGUUACCAAAAUAAACAAGGUAUAGUCCCUGCUUCCGAGGACCCUAUAUUUUACUGAGGGAGAGAGAGAUGUAAGCCUAAUCUCUGUUUUUUAGCAUUGAUAGUUGUCUCAAAACAGAAAACAGGACAGUGUUUAUACUAUGUAGUUGUGAAUAUAUGCUCUGUUAAUGUUAGUGUUGUAGGGGGCAGGUAGAGAGCUACAUACUCUAAGUAAGGGACAUCUCUAUUAAUGCUUUUGUUAUUAUAAGAUCUUCCCUUGGGCUACUCUUAUUACUCAUGAUAUAUAUCAGGAAGCCUGGUAAGUCUCAGUUAUUAGACUUAAGUAAUUUAUAGCCUUAGCUAUAAAUGUCAUAAAUUAUAAUUAAACUAGCAGUUUUAAAGACUACAAAGUCUUACAAUUUAAUAUAAUUUAAUUAAUAUCCAUGUGAAAAUGUCAUUGAUUUCUUGUUCUAUGUUAGCAAAUUUUAGAAAGAAAAGUGUACAAUUUUAAAAAUUGUAUAAUUUUUUAAGAUUUUUAGCAUUGUUAGAUAAUUAGUUAUUAAAGGGCAAAAUGUAUAAAAGGUACACAGAAAAGGUAUGAAAUAAAGAAUUAAAUAUUUUCUCUAGCAUUUGCCCAAGAUAUGGCUAGAAGAUGAUGGAAGUGUUUUCCUGGGGCUAAUAUGCCAGAGCCAAUUACCCACAAGAACAUAAGCUGCUAGCAUUCAACUUUGCCACAGUAUGAUUUAAAGGAGAAUAAAUAAAAGUUUGCAUUUACAUGAUUUCCCUUUAUUUCGUUGGUUGUAACAAUGACUGAGGAUUCCAGUUUUUCAAAAUUUAUCAUUUGCUGCUAAUAGUUAUUUAGGAUGUGCUGUCAAGUUCUAGUUCAUUUCUGUUUCAUUUAAUUAUAACUUAUGACAUUAAAAAAUCUUUCUAUGUUAACUCCCUUUGAAAACUUCUCUCUGCAGUUUGCUUUAUGCCACCAAGCAUUCAACAAUGCAUGCAUUUUCAAAUUGUAAACAUAUACCUACAGGCUUGUCUCUAGCACUUGUUUUUUAAUUUUGGACAUGCAGUGUCUUUGAUUAAAACAUCUGUAUUUGAUUUUUCAAACAUAAGGUUUGAAAAUGUUGAUUCAUAAGUUUUCUUGUAAGACCACUUCAAUUUAAUUAGAUCCAGCAGGUAUUGAUUAUACAUCAGCUAUGCUAGGCACAUGAAGAUACAAAAGAAAUACAAUACGGAUUGUAAGCUAGUUGGAGAAAUUUGACAGAUGAACUCGAAAAAUAAUAAACUGAAAGUAUUAAAUUCAAAAAACGAUUAUAAAUACUGUCUCUUAAAUUGCUCCCCUAAGCCUUCCUUUUGCAGCAAAUGACAUCAACCAUCCAUCCAGUUGCUCAGGCCAGAAACUUAGGAGUUUUAACUCUUUUCUUCACCUUAUACUCGGUCCAAUCCAUUGUAAAAUCUUAUUCUACUUCAAAAGUAUACUCUGGAUCUUACAGUGACUCAUUUACCUACACAGUUAUAACCAGAAUCUGAGCCCUAACACCUCUUGCCUGAGCUGUCUGAAUAGCCUGAAUGGUUUACAUCCUCCCACUCCUGUCGUCUUAUGUAGUCUGUUUUCCACAUAGCAGUCAGAGUCAUUGGGAAUACAAAUUAGAGCUUAUUGAUCUUCUGCUUAAAGUUCAGAAAAACCGUCCCAUCCCACUUCUCACUGCACCCUGGAUACAAUUAAAUGCCUCACAAGGCUGCUACCUCUCUGACUUCAUCUACUUUCUUCUCAUUCUUUACACUGGAUUUCUUUUUGUCUGUGGACUACUUGAAGCUUAUUAGUCCUUUACAGCCUUACCACUUGCUUUUUGUUUGUUUGUUUUUUUGCUUGGAAAUCUUUUUCCCUAGGUUUUUCUUGGCUAGCAUCUUCUCCUUAUACGGUUCUUAACCCAUUGUUACAUCCUGAGAGAGGCCUUCCUUUCCUAUCGUAGUUAAAGCAGCUUCACCUCACCUCUCUAACUCGUAAUCUUUUUCAUGGCACAUAUAAGUAAAUUAAAUUUUAAAUUUUAAAAUUAAAUUUUCUUAUUUGUUGUCAUUCUUCCCUCACUGUAUAUAAGCUGCUUAAGGGCAAGAAUUCUUGCUUAUUCACUGACAUCCCUAGUACCUACAAACAGUGUUUAGAAUCAUAUGCUCAAUGAAUAAUUUUUGAAUGAAUGGAGAUUGAAAGCAAGUACUCUAGAAAAUGGGAAAGAUGAGAGAGAAUGACUCUUCUCUUUUAAGUUGGUGAACAUAAUACCUGUGCUUCUUCUUUCCCCACCCCCUUCCAUUAGCCUUGAGACCCAAGUUCUUUAAGCCAACCAAAUGACCUUGUUUUCCCAAAGGAAGGUAAACAAAAGUGGAUCUUUCCUCAGCUGAGUUCCUGAGCUAGUAGAUUCGUUUGUUGGAUGCUUUUUUUUUUUAAAACAAGUACCAGAAUUAGGGAUGCUAUUCCUCUCUCUGUUCUUACUCUGUUUCUUUGAGUCACAUUGAGGAAUGUGCUUCUCGUACCCAAUAUAACAUUGGGCAAUGUUGAGCUCUUAUCUUCAUUUGGUAGAAGCUGAGAUACUUUGUUAUCCAAGGUGAAUAGAUUCUUGAAAGUUGUCAUGGCCCACUUGAUCACAAAGGUAGACACAGAGCAUGAAAAGGGGAAUUAUUAGAGACUCCCUCUUAUUUUCUUUUACUGGAAAAUUUAAUACUGCGUUUUGAAGAUCUGUCCAUAUUGUAUUUACUUUGAACUUGACAGCAUGUUUUCGAGACCUAUGUGUGUUGCUUUAUAUCCUUCCACUGCAUUGCUCUGACUGCUGCAUAGUGUGCCAGAAUAUCCGUCCCCUAUAUAUACCUUAUAAUAGCUUUACUGAGAUAUAAAUCACAUACAAUAAAGUUUACCCCUUUGGAAUUUACAUUCCAGUGGUUUUUAGUACAUUCACAGAGUUGUGCAACCAUUACCACCAUCUAGUUCAUCUACUACAUUUUACUUGUUCAUUCUUCCAGUGAUGGAUUUCCAGAUUGCUUCCAGCUCCUCAAUAUCACAGUCAAUAUGGUGAUAGUCAUCUUUAUACAUGACUAUUUUGUGAAUUUCUCUGGAUGUGCAUGAAUAAAGGCUAAGAAGAUGGAGUUUUAGAUCCGAUACUUUCUGGCAAAAGGACAGAAUGGCUCAGAACUUGAGAAAAUACCAUUAUUCUAGUAGUUCAUUUAGAGGUAGAUUUACUGGUACUUUAGGAAAUAAUUUUGUCUUGUGCUUCUUUGUCCUGUGUUUCUCUUUCAGUGAUUUGAUUACUCAUCCUAAGGAUUUUAGGGUUGGAGGCUGACUUUGAAGCUAGUAGGUACUAAGUGGCUUGAAGGACCACUACAGGGUCAAUUAGGCCAAAGGAAAAAAGGGUGCAAAUUUUCUUUAGGCAUGAGUUUUUAUCAUAACUACUCUUUAUACAGCUUUAUUUUCUAUUUACCUUGUGAAGAUAAUAUAAAAAUAUGUCAAAAAAUUGAAAGAGGCAAAUGUAAAUCAUUAAAAAAAAAGCAGAUGUGAGGAAGCAGAAUUUUACAAAGGAAUAUAAAUGAAAGAGACAAAGGAAGGCAGUGUGUAAGAGAAGAGAAUGCAAAAUAAAAAACAAAUCAUAUAAUAAACAUUUGGCUUUUGUUGACACCUGAAGGGUGAUGGGGCUCCUCUACUGCUGGGUGCACGUGGUCUGUACUAACACCCCUGGUGGGGGGUAGGGGAGCCCAGGCCUAGUUUCAGCUGGUGGGGAUGAAGGUCCCAGCUCUCUCCUUGGUCUUCCCUCACUCCUCCCCAUUGGGGGUGUUCGGGUGCCUUGUUACAGCCUUGUGAGGGUGGAAGUCUAGGCUGUCCACUUGGCCAUUGUGACGGGGGUUGGGCCACAGUUUUUUCUGAGGUGUUUGGCUGGAGUCGAAUGAUUAUUGUCUGUUUUCAUAGGCUGCCCUUUGCCUGGUCCUUUAGGAAGACAGAGAAGGUUUUUAUUUGUGCCUAGUAGCAGUUCUGGCUUGCAGGUUUUGUUAACUCUAAGAUUGGGAUAUUCAAGGCAGAGAGAAAAUCUAGGUACUUACCACCAUGUCAUUCUUUGGAUCACAAGGUCUCUAGAUGGUCUGCUGCCUUCUUUCCACCUUUCAAUCUUUAAAUAUUUGUUUUAUAUAUAUAGUGUCCAGGGUUUUUGUAAUUAAUGGGAGGAAUAGGGAAAAUAUGUAUACCUGAUCUUCACAGAAGUGGAAGUCCUUCACAUACAAUUUUUGUAUAUUAGUCAGAAAUAAUCAAGUACACAAGGGAACAAGGCACCAAGAUCAAGAUCUGACAGAAACAACAAACAACAGAAGCAGACCUACAGAGACUUCGUGUGUUGGAAUUAUCUGGAAGUGUAAAAACAAGUGUGUUUAAAUGUUUAAUGUAAUUGACAACUUCUGAUUCAGGCCAAAUUAGAAUAACAGGGAACAGAUUUACUCUUCUGCCCGAAACAACAAAAAUCCAGACAAAAUAAAUGAAACAACAGUUUUCAAGACAUUGUAUGUUAAUCAAUGAAGGACUGUGAUCUGUGAAAGAUUAGAAGCUAGUGAGAUGAGCCCUGUGAUUGCUUGGCUUACUACCUGGAGAGCAUUUCUGGGCCAUGGAGCAGGGUUGUUGAACUGAAGCAGAGCCUGGCUAUAUCCCAGAGUUGACAAGGCAUAGCUAGGAGUCCAAGGAGACCAGAGUUUGCAUGUAGUGGAGGAGAAAGGUUGAGAACUCCAGAGGGAUACAGAGGGUCCCAAUGAGUACUCAACUCAGUUUUGAUAAGUGAAUACAUGAGAAGAAGCUACCUGAGGCUGGGGAAAGAACCAGAAGAACCCAUUAGAGGGAAAAAUCCUCUGAGCUCAUGCAGGGCUAGGAAUAGUUGCUGUUCCUACCACUUAGAGUAGAAAAUUUCAUAAUUCACAGGGCAUUGGGAAGACUGCUUAGAAGGAUUUUACCUCAAUGUGGGGCACAAGUUAGUCCUACACUAAACACUGCUCUGGCCCCAAAUUGGAAAAAGAAAAAAAAAAGCAAGGCCUGAAAGGAUCUGAGUCCCAAAACAAACCUAAUCUAAAUAAAAUUUAUGGGAGCACAAAAAUAUACAGCACCCAACAAGGUAAAAUUUAUAAUGUCUGUCAUACAAUAAAAUAUUACUAGACAUGAAAAGGGUCAGGAAAUAUGACCCAUAAUGAUGAGAAAAACCAAUCAUUUGAAAUCAACGCAGAAGUGAUACCUGUGAUAGAAUUAGUAGACAGGGACAUCAAAACAAUAAUAUUUAUGGUAUUUCAUAUAUUCAGGAAGCUAGGGGAAAUAUUGAACAUGUUUAAUAGAGAUAUGGAAGAUAUUUUAAAACACCCUAAGUUAACUUUUAGAGAUGAAAGCUAUAAAAUAUGAGUGAAAAAUACACAGGAUAGGAUUGAUGGCAUGUCAGGCCUUGCAGAAGAAAAGAUUAGUGAACCCAAAGGCAUAGUAAUAGAAACUAUCAAUGAAACAUCAAGGGAAAAUAAAAAAUAUGAAGAGAAUAUUGGUGAUCUAAUAGGACAACUUGAAUUGGCCCAAUAUGCGUACAAUUGGAGUCUAAAAGUGAGAGAGAGCUAGAGGGAGGGUCAGGAAAAGCAUCUGGAGAAAUAAUGACUCAAAAUGUCCCAAACUUGAUGAAAGCUCUAAACACUGUCAUCCAAGAACAUAAACCUCAAGCACAAGGAACAUGAUGGAAAUUAAUUAUAUAAUAGUCAAUUAAACCAAUGAGAAAAAGAAAAUCUUAAAAGCAGCGAGAGGAAAGAGAAACAUUUCAUACAUAUGAUUAGAGAUUAAUGACGACAGCAAAUUUAUCAUUGGGAACAAUACAUAUCAGAAGACAGUUAAGCAGCAUCUUUAAAGUACUGAAAAAAAAAGAACUGUCAAUGUAGAAUUGUAUACCCGGCAAAAUAUCUUUAGAAAACAAAAGCAAAGUAAAGACUUUUUCAGAUAUACAAAAACUAAAAGAAUUCAUCACCAGCAGACCUGUACUAGAGGAAAUGUGAAAGUUUGUCAAGAAGUUUUCAGGGAAAUAAUAGUAGUUGGAAAUCUAGGUCUACGCAAAGAAAUGAAGAGCACUGGAAAUGGUAACUAUCUGCAUAGAUAUAAAAGAUACUUUUCUUAUAUAUCCCCCUGUAAAAGUGUAAUUGACUGGGCUUCCCUGGUGGCGCAGUGGUUGAGAGUCCGCCUGCCGAUACAGGGGACACGGGUUCGUGCCCCGGUCCGGGAGGAUCCCACAUGCCGCGGAGCGGCUGGGCCCGUGAGCCAUGGCCGCUGGGCCUGCGCGUCCGGAGCCUGUGCUCCGCGAUGGAAGAGGCCACAACAGUGAGAGGCCCAUGUACCGCAAAAAACAAAACAAAACAAAAAGCAAACAAAUGAAAAAAGUGUAAUUGACUGUAAAAAUAGUAGCGAUGUAGUUUGUGAGGGUUAUAACAUAUGUAAAAGUAAAGUGUUUAACAAUAAUACAGGGUUCAAGAGGGAAGAAAUGGAAGUGUAAUGUCAGAUUUUUAUACUAUAUGGGACAUUGUGUAAAUCACUUGAAGGUAGACUGAUAAUUUUAAGAUGUGUAUUGCAAACCUCAGAUCAACUCAACUAUGUGUAAUCUACAAGAAGCCCCUUUAAAAGUAAAGGGACAAAUAAAUUUAAAGUAAAACAGGUUAAAAGUAAAAGGUUUGACAAAAGGUAUAUUACGCUCACUCUAAUUAGAAGUAAGCUGGAGUGGUUAUAUUAACAUUGGACAUAGUAGAUUUCAGAGCAGAGCAUAUUACCAGAGAAAAAGAGGGUAAUUUCAUAACAGUAAAGGGGUAAAUGAAUUAAGAGGACAUAAUAUUUCUAAAUGUUUAUGCAUCUAAUAACAGAGCUUCAAAAUAAAUAAAGCAAAAACUGACAGAACUGCAAUGAGGAAUACGCAAAUUCACAAUUACACUUGGAGAUUACAGCAUCCUUCUCUCAAUACUUGAUAUAGAAUGUAAAAAGAAGAUCAUUAAGGAUACAGAAGCCUUGAAUAACACUAUUAACUAACUUGACAUCAUUGACCUUUACAGAGUAUUCUACACAACAGUAUGGAGUGAAAAUUAUUUUCAAGUGUCAUCAAAAUUUACCAUAUUCUGGGCUACAAAACAAGUCUCAAAGGAUUCAGGUCAUAUCAUACAAUUUAUUGUUUGGCUUCAGUGGAAUUAAAUUAGAACCAAAAGAUAUCUGGAAAAUCCCCCAAUAUUUGAAAACUCAUGUACUUCAGAAGAUAUCAAAAGUGAAGCUAGAAAGUGUUUUGAACUGAAUGAAAAAGGAAACAUAACAUAUCAAAAUUUGUGAGAUAUAUUUACUGCCUACUUAGAAGGACAUUUAUAGCAUGAAAUACCUGUUUAGAAAAAUAAAGAAAGGUCUUAAGUCAAUGACUUCAGCUUCCAAUUAAGAAACUAGAAAAAGAAAAGCAGUUAAACCCAAAGUAAGAGGAAGUAAAGAAAUAAUAAAUAUUGGAGUGGAAAUAGAUGAAAAAAAUAUUAAAACCAAAGAAAAAAAUCAACAUACCCUAAGCUAGUUCUUUGAGAAAAUGAAUAAAAUUAAUAAACCUCUAAGCCAGACAGAUGAGGAAGAAAAAAGAUACAAAUUACCAAUAUCAGGAAUGAGAGAGGUGAUAUCAUUAUAGAUUAUACAGGUAGUAAAAGUACGGUAAUGUGGUAUUUCGAACAAGUUUAUGUCCAUAUAUUUGCCAACUUAGGUGAAAUGGUUAUAUUUUUUAAAAGAUACAAACCACCAAAACUCACUCAAAGAGAAAUAUGUAACCUGAUCAGCCCUGUAUUUACUAAAGAAAUUGGAUUCAUAAUUAAAAACCUUUUCCUAAAGAAAAUUCCAUGCCUUGGUAGCUUCACUGGUGAGUUUUAGUAAAUAUUUAAAGAAGAAGUAAUUCUAGUUCUACUUAUUCCACUCAAACUGUAUCAGAAAGUUAAAGAGAAGUGAUCACUUCCAUAUUCAUUCUCUGAGGCCAGCAGAAUUUUGAUACCAAAACAAGACAAAGACAUUACAAGAAAAGGAAACUACAAACUCAGAAUCCUUCAUGAAUUUAGAUAUAAUAUUCUUAACAAAAUUUUAGCAGAUCAGUCCAACAUUAUAUUAAAAGAAUAAUAUCAUGACCUAGUGAGGUUUAGCCGAGGAAUUCAAGUUUAGCUUAACAUUCAGAAGUCAAUUAAUGUAAUUGACUUAUUAACAGAUUAAAAACAAAAUCAUCUCAAUAGAGUCAGAAUAAACUUUUGAUAAAAUUCAAUAUUCAUUUCUCAUUAAAAUUCUCAUAAAACUAGAUCAGUGGUUUUCAGUCAGGAGGAGUGAUUUUGUACCCCAGGAGUGAUUGAUAUCGGCAAUGUAUGGAGAUAUUCUUGAUUCUCAUGACUGGGUGAGUACUACUGGCACUCAUCAGUUUGAAUCCUGGUUUACUACUUACUACCUUCUGUCUCAGUUUCCUCAUCUGUCAAAUGAAAUAAUUAGUAUAUUAUUUUUUUGGUGAUUAUUAUGAAGAUUAAUUAAUGUGGUCCAAGAGGAAUAAGAAGCCCUUAAACCUAAUAUUUCUUUACUGUGAUAAUCAUUCUAAUAAAUAAGUAACUUAAAGAAAUAUUUGAUUGCACAUAGAGCUCUAUUUUUGACUGCUUUUUAAGAUAUGUGUGUGUGUGUGUGUGUGUGUGUGUGUGUGUGUGUAUGUUAUGAUAAAAUGGGUAACUAGUUACAGAUACAUUUUAAAAUUACAGACAUUGUUCCAAAAAGGAAAUAAUAUCUGGGUUAUUAGCAUUGCAUAGUCUUUUUUUGUUUGUUUGAUUUUUAUUUUAUUUAUUCAUUUAUUUUUUAUUAUAUUUUAUAUUUGGCUGUGUUGGGUUUUCAUUGCUGUGUGCGGGCUUUCUCUAGUUGUGGCAGGUGGGGGCUACUCUUCAUUGGGGUGCGUGGGCUUCUCAUUGUGGUGGCUUCUCUUGUUACAGAGCACAGGCUCUAGGUGUGCAGGCUUCAGGAGUUGUGGCACAUGGGCUCAGUAGUUGUGGCACAUGGGCUUAGUUGCUCCGCGGCAUGUGAGAUCUUCCUGGACCAGGGCUCGAACCCGUGUGCCCUGCACUGGCAGCGGAUUCUUAACCAUUGCGCCACCAGGGAAGUCAUUUUCCCUGCAUAGUCAUUUUCGUAAUGUGUGAUUAGUUUCCCAAAAUGCUUGCCUGAAAGCUGAUGUAAAGAUAGGUUCUGGGACCUGGACCUGCCAUAGAUGCCUUAUUUACUUGAAUCUAAGUAUUCACUUUGCUAUUUCUGUAUUCUUUUACUAAAUCUAUACUAUGCAAAUCAUUGUUAAUGAAGUCUGGAACCAUAGCUGUCCUUAACAUGGCUAUUGAGUGUAUGCAGAUCAGCGCUGGGAAGUGGCACUCCCAGCAAGGAAGAAGAAAGAAGAAAUGCUGAAUUUAUUUUUUCCCUUCUCUCUGUUCUCCUUAGAUAAGCCAAGAAAUAUUUGUUGAGGGUAUAUAUAUUUUUUGGUCAUGAAUUUAAAAGGGAAUAAUGAAUGCAGUGUAAUUUUUUUAAACCUUUCAGAUAUUUCAUAUAUGGGUUUACAGUAUUUUUUUUUCUUAAAGAAGCUCUUCAGAGUCUGGGAUUUUGUCUUCUAUGUCUGUCUUUAUAAUUUCCUGCAGGAAUAACCAGAAUGCUUUGUAUUUAAUGAAUAAUACCUGCAUAGUGUCAUGUUUAUUGCUUUAAUAAAUGCUUUUCCCAUACUUUUUGCAUUUAACAUACUGAAACCACCCUGUUAAAUAGGCAUGAUAGCUUUUAUUAUACCAUUUAUAUAUUAUGAAAACAGAGUUUGGAAGGAUACGUGACUUCUGAUCUCAUAUUGAUGAUAUAUGAUAAGGUAAUAUUGAAAACUCAGGUUUUAGCUGGGUUUAGUGCUUUUUCUAAGCUACUGUAUCCUACCUAAAUGUUGUUGGUUGGUGACAUUUAAGAACCUAGACUUUUAAAAUGGGUAUUAAAAACAAUCCUUAAAUGUGGCAACAGUUGCAGUACAGAGCGUGAUUGUUUUCAUUUAUGGUCUUUUAAUUAAGGUUAAAUCUGGAGGUCUGGAGUGUAAUGGCAGUAUUUAAAAAAAUUUAGCACUGCUGUGACAGCUUUAGACAGUAGCAUGGGACAUUAACUCAAUACACUUCUGUGUUAAAUCAUUUUAUGUCACUUUGUCAAGAGGUGAGCAUUAAUUGUAUUUCUAGGAAUUAAAUUAUUCAAGUGUGUUGCAUUUUAAAAUCAAAGGAAAAAUAAAUUACUUAGUUCAGUGGUCUCCAACCAUUUUGGCCCCACGGACUGGUUUCAUGGAAGACAAUUUUUCCACAGAAGGGGGUGCUGGUUCAGGCGGUAAUGCAAGUGAUGGGGAGCGAUGGGGAGCGGUAGAUGAAGCUUUGCUCUCUCACCCGCCGCUCACAUCCUGCGUCCGUGACCCGGGGAUUGGGGACCCCUGAUUUAGUUUAUAUUCAUUUAGCCAACAAUUUAAGUCCUGAAAAAAAAUUCUUUUACUGCUUUACUAAAUUUUGUAGCUCCUUGGUCAUCUAACAGUAUUCCACUGGGUUUUUAUGAUUUUCAUAUGUUUUUUGCAUUUUCAUAUCCAAAAGUAUGAUCUAAUGUAAUAUUUGGUAGUUUUUAAAAACAGAAGCAAAGAACUAUGACUUUUUUUUUUUUUUUUGCGGUACACGGGCCUCUCACUGUUGUGGCCUCUCCCGUUGCGGAGCACAGGCUCCGGACUCGCAGGCUCAGCGGCCAUGGCUCACGGGCCCAGCUGCUCCGCGGCCUGUGGGAUCUUCCCGGACCGGGGCACGAACCCGUGUCCCCUUCAUCGGCAGGUGGACUCUCAACCACUGUGCCACCAGGGAAGCCCAGAACUAUGACUUUUAUAGUGUGGCAUUUAUCAUGCAUGUACCUAUUGUGAGAUACAAAUUUAAUUAGAAGGCUAAAUAUCAUCUUUUAAUCAUCUAUAUAAAAUUAUUAAAAUGCUUAAGUCAUUCUUAAAGAAAAUGUAAAUGUAAAGGUUAAAAACGCAUUUACUAAUUAAGGGUUUAAAUACCUUAAUUUUAAAAUAAUGGAUUAUAUGUUAAAUUUUUUGGAAGAAAAGAUGUAGAUUUUGCAUCAUUUGUGAAAAUAUAUGACUGAAUGGCAUGUGAUAAAAGGGGUCUAUGAUUGUUUUUUCUACCAGUAAAUCUUGUACCAUUUAGUGGUACUUCUUAGCAACUUUCGUAAACAUAACAUGAGCUUAUUAAACUAACAGUUAAUUGUAUUGCUUGUCAGAAAUGAUACAUUGUUUGAGAAAUUACAUUUAGAUAUAUCCUACAAUGUAUGUACUCUGGAAUUUUUUGCACUCUGGCAUAAGAUACAGUGUAAUUGGUUCAAUAAAUUGAGCAGUACAAUGAAGAAAUUUAAGAUAUAUAGAUGGGUUUAAUGUGUAGGAGAAAAGUGCCUCAUUUGGAAUAUGUCUCUAAGGCAUGCCCUUCACACCUCUAAUAACAAUUAGCAAAGCAGAGGAUGAAAAGUCUUGGCCCAACUUGUAAAUGCCAUUUGGUGAAAGUGAACUUUGUUAUUUUCAUUUUGCUGAAAAAGUUACAGGAGGCAGGUAAGGGCUACUUUUACUAAAACUUGAUCUUGUAUUUGUGAAGUAUUUAAGGAAAAAUAGAAAUGAAAGAGGAAAAAAGUGAAAAGGAAAGAAAAAGGCAUUUAUUCUAAAAUGUACUUUGACCACACGGACCUGAAUCUUUCAGGUCUGGCAUUUAUUAUUUUACCUCUGCAGUUAUUUUGUUGUUGUUGUUAGGUGGUUAAUAUGAAUAGAAGUUUAAUAAAGAUAUUUAAAAGAUUUAGCUCUAUUCCAUAAAAUCGGCACUUGUGACAGGAUCUGGUUUAUUGUAGCUGUUAGUGUUAAGUUGACUUUCUGUUCCUGGAACUAUGGCAGCAACCUGGUACAGGUUAAGAGACAGAAAACAUGGAAGAGUAGAAAGCAAACUGGUAUGGAAUCUGGAGACUUAAACCCUGGGAUCAGUGGUUUCACCAGUUAGUGUUCAUGCCAUUUGAAUCUGUGGCCCCUGAUUAUUAAUCUGGGAACCCUGAGAUCUUUUCAGGAUUACUUCAAUACUUUGCUUUUGUCAUUAAGAAAGACUUUCCAGCCACUGCUCCUUACUUACUGGUUGUAUGAUGAUCUUGGUCAAACCAUUUUACUUCUACCUCCAUUUUCUCAGCUGUGAAAUUGGGAUCAUAAUAGCUACUACCUCACAGAGUAAUAAUGUGAAAAUUAAAUAAGAUAAUACAUAUAAAAGACUUACUAGUGAGUAGGAAGAUCUCAAUAAUGUUUGCUUUUAUUAUUGUUUUUGUCAUUGUUGUUGUGACUGUGACUUUGAUCAUGUUUGUGAAGUCUUCACAGUAUGGAAAAAUGUUAUCUGUGUUUCCAGGAAAAAUGUUAUCUGUGUUUCCAUGGAAAAAUGUUAUCUAUGUUUGUAUAUCUGAAAGUAUACAAGUUGGAAAACUUGUAUACUAUGAAGGCAGCAAGUUUCCUUAAGUUUAGAACAAAAUAUUUAUAGUUUGAUCUGGUCUUGUAGCAUCCUGGUAGAGAAUUCAACUAAAUUUAGGUAUCUAAAAAGAAUUCAUUUAACUCUUGUUUCCCCCAGGGUCUAUAAAGUAAUGAUUAGAUAAAGAAGAGUUGAUGUUCUGUUUUUAUGUUGUUUUAGUAGUUUUGAAUUCGAAAUGAAAAUAUAGUCAUUGAUAAUACUGUAUGAUAAAUUAUACUUACUGUCUUUCCUCCAGGGUGCUCAAAACAUUUUAGAAAUGUAACUAAACAUUUUAUAGGCACUUUUAAUUAUCUCUCUUUUACUGAGGUGAAACAUGGAAGGUAUAAGAGUUGAGAAUAUUUGUCUUAUCUGAGGGAUUUGGAAGUGCUAAAAUAUUUCUGCUCCCUGGGGAAAUGUUUCUUUUAUGCUAUGGAUAUUACAAAAAAAAUCUUAAUUUGUCCUGAAAUUAUCAGAAAACAAAGAAAAUGUGAACUUGUUUGCCUUGUCACUGAAUUUGUUUUCGAUGUCACUGUGCAACACUGAAGUCAGAUUAUAGACUGAUCAGAGACAUUGAUUAUUCGGUUAGUCUGCAUCUGAAAUAUAGGUUGCAAUACAGAGACAGUGUCACCUGAUAACAAGUUAUCUAUUAGAAAGAGAAAGAAAACACUCAAUUGUGUCCUAGGUGGUGGACUGGGCACAGUCAUUUACUACUUAUGCCCUUCCCUCCUUUCUCUCAAAUUUUAAUGAAUGGUAGUAAACAUUUGCAAAAAGGAAGAAGUCUUAAAAAAUGUUGCAAUAGACUUAGAGAUUUUAAUGAAUUUCUGGAAACUGGAAUUCUAAUCCUAAUAACUAAAAUCCUAAUAACUAAAAGUCCAAGGAGGAAUAAACUACAGUCUAGCACUCACAGGUGAAUGCUACAGGAGAGGUUGGAAACAUUCUUCACUGUAAAAGUCUGGAGAGACUGCAAACUGGGAGCUUGAAAAUGUGCAGGAAUCAGCAGGAGUGUAUCUGGAACAGUGGAGUCAUUUCCCCAAAAUAGAGGGCUUGAUUCACGGUAACUUUAUCCAGGAGUAAAAUUUAUUAAAGGAUUUUGAGCAUUUGGGAAGCUCUCAUUCUUGGCUAGUUUAUUUGCUCAAUAUUCACUCUUCAAAUGAAGUCUGCCAGUCAGUAUUCCUAGUUUAUGUAUAUAAUGUGACAGUUGGCUUCCCAUUCAGAGAAGGACAGUGUUGGGCAAACAACCCCAGAACUGCUGCUGCAGUGGACAUUUCUGGUGUGUGUGCAUCCUCCUAGUUUUUCAUUCAUAAACAUGAGUAUACAACAAGUUUCACCAGGCAUUUCGAGAAAAUGAACAGCACAAAAUAGAUCAUACCGAACAAGCAUUCAAUUUGGGAGAAAACAGAAUUUAGCAGGGGGAACAAACCUGAAAAAAAAAUGUCUUCAGAGAAUUUUGAGAAAAUAUAGCAGUCACAAAAUAAGAAUUGAUUUCUUUGUAAAAGAAGCAGUUAGAGAAAUAAGUUAUUCUCAGAAGUAAAACAUGUGAUUGAUUUAAAAACUCAUAAAAAUGAAAGGCUGAAAGAUGAAAUAGGUUCUUGUGUAGAAAAUAGAGCAAAAGCUAUAGAUGGAAAACGCUCAAAGAUAAAUUGAGAGAUGUGGUGGGCUGUUCUAGAAAGAGAAAAUAAGAUGGGAGAGUGGCAGGUAGGUCUCUCCAAGGGCAUUAAAGGAACAUAGAUCUUACUGACCAUGUGUCGGACUCUACCAGGAAGCCUGCUUAGAAGCUGCUGGAACGCCUUGCCUGCGGAUUUCCCAGUUGACCCAUGGGCAUCCUUAGCGUUCUGUGCCCCUCACCCACACAUGCCCCCACACUGUAGUUGGCUCCUUAUGCCUGUUCCUGAUGGUGAUGAGAAUGAACCUUUGCAGAUGGCUGCUAAGCGUGCAGAGAAGGCCAGCCUGACUCUGUGGGUCCGGGAGAAACCACAGACUUAAACUUCAGCACAACCUUAGGGAAAACGUAAGGAGGUUGGCUUUGCAGGAAUGAGAGAAGGCAUUCAAGCUUAAGAAUUCUUUCAUAAGAAGGAACGAGAAGAGUAGAGCAGUCACAUCCAUAGAAGAGGUUUGUGAAAGCCUCCGAAUCCCUAGUAGGGCUGACAGAAGGUAUUUCUCUCCUGAAGCAAGUCAGUAACGAAUGGAGGAGGUGACUGCUUUUUCAAAUGUGAGGACAGUAAAGCAAACUUCAAGGAACAUGAAAAAUCAAGGAAACGUGACACCACCAAAGGAACCAUUUUCCACUAACGAACCCCCCAAAGUGAAGACCUGCAAUUUGCCAGACAAAAAAUUCAAAAUAAGUGUUUUAAGGAAGUUCAGUGAGCUCUAAGGAAGCACAGAAAGACAGUUCCGUGAAAUCAGGAAAACCAUAUAUGGCCAAAAUGAGAAGCUUAACAGAGAGAUAGAAAUUAUAAAAAAGAUCCAAACAAAUUCUGGAGUUGAAGAGUCAGGGAAUGCAAUGAAAAUUGCAGUAGAGCUCAUCAGCAGUGGAUUGGAUUAAGCAGAAGGAAGAAUCUGUGAAAUGGAAGAAAGGACCUUUGAAAUCAAGUCAGAGGAGGACAAAGAAAAACAAAUGAAAAAGAGUAAAGAAAGUCUAUGUGAAAAAUGGGAUACCAUUAAAAGAGACAACCUAUGCAUUAUUGGAGUGCCAGAAGGAGAAAAGAAAGAGAAAGCAGCAGAAAGCUUAUUUGGAGAAAUAAUGGAUGAGAACUUCCCAAAUAUGGGGAGAGAUUUAGAAAUCCAACUUCAUGAAGGUAAUAGGUCCCCAAACAAAUUUAACUUAAGGAGAUCUUCUCUGAGACACAUUAUGAUACAGUUGUUGAAAAUCAAAGAUACAAAGAAAAUGUUAAAAGCAACAAGAGAAAAAAAAAAUUCCUACAUGCAAAGGAAACCCCAUAAGGCUGUCAACAAAUUUCUUAGCAAAAACCUUGCAAGCCAGGAGAGAGUGGGAUGAUAUAUUCCAAGUGCUGAAAGAAAAAAAGAAAAAAACAAAAAAACCCUGCCAACCAAGAAUACUUUCCCUGGCACUUGUCCUUCAGAAAUGAAAGUGAGAUGAAGAAUUUCCAAAACACACAAAACUUGGGACUUCCCUUGUUGUCCAGUGGUUAAGAAUCUGCCUUCCAGUGCCAGGGUCAUGGGUUCUAUCCCUGGUCGGGGAACUAAGAUCCCACGUGCCACAGGACAACUAAGCCUGCGUGCCACAACUACUGAGCCCGUGUGCCUCAACUAGACAACCCACAUGCCACAAAAUACAGAGCACACGCGCUCUGGAGCCCACACGCCAGAACUACAGAGCCCACCCACUCUGGAGCCCACGUGCCACAACUAGAGAGCCCAUGCGCCACAACUAGAGAGAAGCCCACACACUGCAAUGAAAAAUCCUGCAUGCAGCAACAAAGAUCCUGCAUGCCGCAACUAAGACCCAACACAGCCAAAAAUAAAAUUAAAAAAAAAAAAGAAACGAAACCCCCCCCCCCCAAAAUACAAAACUUGAGAGUUAAUCACCACUAGACCUGUCUUACAAGAAUUGAGGGCAGAACUUCUUCAAGCUAAGAAGAAAGGACACUAAUUAGUAACAUAAGAACAUAUGAAAAUAUAUAACCAAACGGUAAAGGUAAGUAUACAGUCAAAUACUAGUACUGUAAUGUGGUGUUGUGUUAACAAUCUAACUUUGUUAUAAAGGUUAAAGGACAAAAGUAUUAAAAAUAGCUAUAGCUACAAAAAUUUGUUAAUGUAUGCACAAUAUAAAAAGAUGUAAAUUUUGUUAUCAAAACCCAUAAAAUACAUGGGGACUAAAAUGGUAGUUUUUUUGGUAUGUGAUUGAAGUUAAGUUGUUAACAAGUGUACAGUGUACAAUAGACUGUUAUAUCUAUAAAAUAUUUUAUGUAAGCCUCAUGGUAACCACAAAGCAAAAACCUACAGUUGACACACAGAAGAUAAAGAGAAGGGAAUCAAGGCAAAACAGUACAAAAAAUCAUUAAUUCAGAAAGGAAUACAGCAAGAGAAGAACAGAGGAACAGGGAACUAUAAAACAGCCAGAAAAUAAUAAGAUGGCAUUAGUAAGUCCUUACUUAUCAAUAAUUAGUUUAAGUGUAACUGUAAUAAAUUCUCUAAUCAAAAGACAUGGGUAAAAAAUCAAGACUCAACUAUAUGCUGCUUACAAGAGACUCUAGCUUUAAGGACACAUAUAGGCUCAAAGUGAAGGGAUGGAAAAGAUGUCCUGUGUAAAUGGUAGCCAAAAAAGAGUAUGAGUAGCUAUACUUAAAUCAGACAAAAUGGAUGUUAGUCAAAAGCUGUAAGAGGAGACAAAGAAGGUUCUUCUGUAAUGAUAAAGGAGUCAGUUCAUCAAGAGAGUAAAUACAUAUGCACCCAUCAUUGGAGCACAUAAUAUGUUAAGAAGAAACCAGCAGACUGAAGGGAGAAACAGACAACAGUACAACAAUGACAGGGGACUUAAGUAUGCCACUUCAACAAUGGAUAGACCAGGCAGCAAAUCAGUAAGGAAACGUUGGACUAUAGAUGAAAUGGACACAACACUAUAGACAAAAUGUGUUUGACAGAUAUUUUCAGAACAUUCCAUCCAACAGCAGCAGAAAGGAUAUUCUUCUCAAGAGCACAUGGAACAUUCCCUGGGAUAGACCAUAUGUUAGGUCACAAAACAAACCUUGGACACUUUUCCAAGGAAGAUAUACAGAUGACCAACAGGUACAUGAAAUGAUGCUCAGUCUGUCUAAUCAUCAGGGAACUGCAAGUCAAAACCACAGUUAGAUAUCACCUCACACCUUUUAGAAUUGCCAUUAUCAAAAAGACCAGAGAUAACAAAUGUUGACAAUGAUGUGGAGAAAAGGGAGCCCUUGUCACUGCUGGUGAGAAUGAAAAUUGGUAGCAACUAUGAAAAACAGUAUGGAUGUUCCUCAAAAAUUAAAAAUAGAACUGCCAUGUGAUCUAGCAAUUGUAAUUCUGGGUAUAGAGCUGAAGGAAAUGAAAUCACUAUCUUAAAGAGAUAACCUGCAUUUCCAUGUUCAUGGUAGCAUUAUUGGCAAUAGCAUAGCAAGAUAUUUAAAGAACCUAUGUAUCUCUUGAUGAAUGAAUGGAUAAAGAAAAUGUGGUGUGUGUGUGUAUGUAUUUAUGUAUGUAUGUAUUAUUCAGCCAUAAAAGAGAAGGAAAUAUGCUAUUUGGAACAACUAGGUUGGAUAUUGAAGGCAUUAUGCUAAGUGAAAUAGGUGAGAGAAAGGUAAAUACUGUUUGAACUCACUUAUAUGUGAAAAAGCUAAAGUUUAUAGAAACAGAGUAGAAUGGUGGUUGCCAUGGGCUGGGAGGGUGGGGGAAAUGGGGAGAUGCUGGUCAGUGGAUACAAACUUCCAGAUGAAUAAGUUGAAUAUAAGAUGAAUAAGUUCUGAGGAUUUAAUUUAUAGCAUUGUGACUAUAGUUAACAAUAUUGUAUUAUAUACUUUAAAGUUGCUAAGAUAGUAGAUAUUAAAUGUUCUCACCACAAAAAUAAAGGUAAUAUUCCAUUGUAUAUAAAAAAAUAAAAAAUAAAUAAAUAAAGAUAAAGGUAAUUAUGUUAGGUGAUGGAGGUGUUAACUAACCUUAUUGUGGUAAUCAUUUUGCAUUAUAUAUGUAUAUGAAAUCAUCACAUUGUAUGCCUUAAACUUACACAAGUUUCAAGUGUAUUUCAAUUAGACAGCAAUAAAGCUGGACAAAAAAUAUACAAGCAUAUUAUAUAGAUUUCUGGUGAUAACUCAGCUGAAUAACUAAAAUCAUAAAUAGUUAAAGUUAUGGGUGGCCAGUUGAACUUGGACUUGAAAUAUUCACUUUUAUUUUAUAUCGUCUGAAUUUGUUUUUCUCUUCCUUUUCUUUACUACUAUUACUAUUUUUUUUUGAAUUUUAUUUAUUAUUAUUAUUUUACCCAGAUGUGUUACGGGUUGGAGUUCUAAUUAUCAAGAUCACUGCUGUUCAGGGAGAUCAGCUCAGUGCUUUGUGACCACCUAGAGGGGUGGGAUAGGGAGGGUGGGAGGGAGGGAGAUGCAAGAGGGAAGAGAUAUGGGCACAUAUGUAUAUGUAUAACUGAUUUACUUUGUUAUAAAGCAGAAACUAACACACCAUUGUAAAGCAAUUAUACUCCAAUAAAGAUGUUAGGGAAAAAAAAAAAGAUCACUGCUGUUGGGAUAUAUAGAAUAGCCAGAAUUAGUAUAACACAAAAUAUUCACUAGUCCUUACUCAAACCAGUUUUUAGGUUACCAUUGUCAUCGUCCUUGGCAGUCUGUUGUUGACAUUUGACAAUUCAGUGCAAGUUCAAUACAGAUCAUUGGGGAAUGAAAUUGCAGGUCUUGUAGAAGAUACAGCAUUUCAUGAAGCCCCUAAAAGUUAGUAUUUAUGAAAAAAUUAAAUCACUGGGAAGUGUGGACCUGGCAGUUAACAGCUGAAGAAACAUUUUGAAAUUUAGCUUUAUUUUCAAGUUAAACCAUUUCCUCACUAUUUACUCUGAAAGUUUAGUCCUUGUUUUAAGUCAACCAGAAUUCUCUUUGUGGGUUUUUUUUUUUUUGGUUUUAAUUAUUCUUAGAUAAUGUGGACCUUCUGAAGUCCUUUUAAAAAUUCUUAUUUAAUUAAGGGAAAAAAAAAACUACUUAGAAUGUGGCUUACGAGCCCAAGUAUAGAAAAUAAAAUCAACAUUCUUCUGCCAGUCAGUAUGUUAGUCCACAGGGCUGAGAUUGCUUUUUAAAGUUUCCUCCAAGUGUCAGUGAGUUGUAGUUUGUACUGACAAGGUAAAAUUUUAUUGGUGGGAAUGUAGGGCUUUCUCUAAGCUAUUCACUGAGCUGUUUAUGUUUGAAUCAUGGACUACAAUGUAACACUUAAGCUGUUUUAAAAUGUGUUACAGACAACUGUGAAUAAGAAGAGCAAAAGAAACAAUACUGAUGCUGAUUGCAAACUGAGGGACAUAUCUAUACAGUAUAUGGAAGUAAUUGUACAGAUUAGUCAACCAAGGAUGCAGUACUUGUAAUGGCACAUUACUUUUACAACAGAGGCUUUGGCAGAUGAGUUAGUCAUACAAAUAGCUAGAAAAAUGGAAGUCUAGAAUAGACCACUGACCAUAGUCCAGUAUAUUCAUGCAUAGUCACUUUUAUUCGUUAUCCUUGAACUCAAACAGAAGAAGAAGUUUGGAGAAACACUGAAGGGUGAGCUUGAUAAGAGAAGCCCUGGAAAUUAAUUUAUAAAAAAUGGUGACUGAUUAGGCACUUAAUGAUACAAAUUGUAUCGUAGCUUUAAAAAUGUAUUAAAGAAACUUAUUUGCUUUUUAAAAGAGAUUUUUAUAAGCCAGAUCUUUCUAUACUGCCCAUUAUUUUGUUUAAAAAAUUCAUUAAUAAUGCUCAAGGUCUGUGACAUUUUAGUACCAUCUUAUUUAUUAAUAAGUUACUUAUUAACCUAUAUUCGAGAUUAUUUUAGUUUAUAGAUGUUUUUCUCUACAUUGGAAAUGUCUUUAAUGACUUUAAAGAUUUCUGUCUCCAUAUUUCAAGUUGAAUAUUUUUUAAGGUAAAAUAAAGUGAUUUUAUUCAUCUUGAGAGCUAUGGUUUAUCCCUACCUUACCUCUUGUCAGUCUUUCUUUUUUUUGGUAAACACUUUUAUAGUCACCUUCACUUUUUUCCUUAUGCAAUGGAACUAUAUUUACAUUGAGUUUACUACCUUUGAUGUCUGUAAAUUGUGUAAGCUUAGCUGGCAUUGACUUUUCUAUUAAUUUUUUAUAUCCAGCUGAUAUUAGGUAGAAAUACUUUAAAUUUAGAAAUAUUCACUCUUUUUGCCACGCUGCGUGGCUUGCAGGAUCUUAGUUCCCCGACGAGGGAUUGAAACCUGGCCACGGCAGUGAAAGCAGUAAAGUUCUAACCACUGGACUGCCAGCAAACUCCCAGAAAUACUCACUCUUAAAUAGAUGAUGCAGCUUUUUUGGGAGUACUGUUUAUAAGAGAAGUUUUCUUAUAACUUCAAAAUUUUCCUUUCAAAACAAAAGAAAGUUUUAUGCACACAGCAAUUUUAGUGUAGUGUCACAAAUGAAAAUGAAAAAGAGCAAAGCCUGUAAUAUUUAAAUUAAUUAUUGGGCUAGUUAUUUUUGAAUCUCAGUCUAAGAAGAUCUUUGGGAAACUUGUAGCAUAGUCUUAGAAAUCCAUUAAACAUUAAAUUGAUUUAUGUAGAAUUUGGUUUAUUUAAUGCAUUGGCAAAAUAAAACAAAAAUAUCAGUCUAUUGUUUACAUUUCAUUUUUCUAAGAAUAUAGGUUAACUUUAGUUACUUUAGCAAAUCUGAAGAUUAAAAACAGGUUUAUAAAAUCACUUUUCAGUUUUCACUUUUGAAGAAAAUCAGACCAAUUAAGAUUCAUUCUG